GCGUCAGUAGUGCAGCGGUUUAGCAUGCGCUACCAGAAAGAGUGAGAUCUGGGUUCGAAUCCCAGGUGACGCA